UACGGAGGGAGCUAGCGUUGUUCGGAAUUACUGGGCGUAAAGCGUACGUAGGCGGCUUUGUAAGUUAGGGGUGAAAGCCUGGAGCUCAACUUCAGAAUUGCCCUUAAGACUGCAUAGCUUGAAUCCAGGAGAGGUGAGUGGAAUUCCGAGUGUAGAGGUGAAAUUCGUAGAUAUUCGGAAGAACACCAGUGGCGAAGGCGGCUCACUGGACUGGUAUUGACGCUGAGGUGCGAAAGCGUGGGGAGCAAACAGG
rnacentral:rRNA from 1 species